rnacentral:rRNA from 1 species
UACGUAGGUGGCAAGCGUUAUCCGGAAUUACUGGGCGUAAAGGGCGCGUAGGCGGUUCGUCAAGUCCUGUGUGAAAUCCCCCGGCUCAACUGGGGAACUGCACAGGAAACUAGCGGGCUUGAGUUCGGGAGAGGGAAGCGGAAUUCCGGGUGUAGCGGUGAAAUGCGUAGAUAUCCGGAGGAACACCGGUGGCGAAGGCGGCUUCCUGGACCGACACUGACGCUGAGGCGCGAAAGCUAGGGGAGCAAACGGG